rnacentral:rRNA from 1 species
AGCGAACGCUGGCGGCAGGCUUAACACAUGCAAGUCGAGCGGGCGUAGCAAUACGUCAGCGGCAGACGGGUGAGUAACGCGUGGGAACGUACCUUUCGGUUCGGAACAACACAGGGAAACUUGUGCUAAUACCGGAUAAGCCCUUACGGGGAAAGAUUUAUCGCCGAAAGAUCGGCCCGCGUCUGAUUAGCUAGUUGGUGAGGUAACGGCUCACCAAGGCGACGAUCAGUAGCUGGUCUGAGAGGAUGAUCAGCCACAUUGGGACUGAGACACGGCCCAAACUCCUACGGGAGGCAGCAGUGGGGAAUAUUGGACAAUGGGCGCAAGCCUGAUCCAGCCAUGCCGCGUGAGUGAUGAAGGCCCUAGGGUUGUAAAGCUCUUUUGUGCGGGAAGAUAAUGACGGUACCGCAAGAAUAAGCCCCGGCUAACUUCGUGCCAGCCGCCGCAGUAAC